GACGAGGGGUCCUAGCGUUGUUCGGAAUCACUGGGCGUAAAGCGUAUGUAGGCGGCCUUUCAAGUCAGGUGUGAAAUCCCAUGGCUUAACCAUGGAACUGCAUUUGAAACUGUAAGGCUUGAGUAUUGGAGAGGAUGGUAGAAUUCCUGGUGUAGUGGUGAAAUACGUAGAUAUCGGGAGGAACACCAGUGGCGAAGGCGGCUGCCUGGACCUCUGCUGACGCUGAGGCGCGAAAGCGUGGGGAGCGAUCCGG
rnacentral:rRNA from 1 species